rnacentral:rRNA from 1 species
CCGGCGACCGGCGGACGGGUGCGUAACGCGUAUGUAACCUACCUUUGACAGGGGGAUAACAUCGAGAAAUUGGUACUAAUACCCCAUAACAUCACCGGAGGCAUCUUCGGUGGUUGAAAACUCAGGUGGUCAGAGAUGGACAUGCGUUGUAUUAGCUAGUUGGUGAGGUAACGGCUCACCAAGGCGACGAUACAUAGGGGGACUGAGAGGAAGGUCCCCCACAUUGGUACUGAGACACGGACCAAACUCCUACGGGAGGCAGCAG